AGCUUUGCGCAGUGGCAGUAUCGUAGCCAAUGAGGUUUAUCCGAGGUGCGAUUAUUGCUAAUUGAAAUAAAAGCUGAAGUCCAGAAUUAUGAUGCAUCCAACUUUGUUGUGCUUUUGUUUUGUUUUUUGUUUUGUUUUCAAG